AUUGAACGCUGGCGGCAGGCCUAACACAUGCAAGUCGAACGGUAACAGGAAACAGCUUGCUGUUUCGCUGACGAGUGGCGGACGGGUGAGUAAUGUCUGGGAAACUGCCUGAUGGAGGGGGAUAACUACUGGAAACGGUAGCUAAUACCGCAUAACGUCGCAAGACCAAAGAGGGGGACCUUCGGGCCUCUUGCCAUCGGAUGUGCCCAGAUGGGAUUAGCUAGUAGGUGGGGUAACGGCUCACCUAGUCGACGAUCCCUAGCUGGUCUGAGAGGAUGACCGGCCGCACUGGAACUGAGACACGGUCCAGACUACUACGGGAGGCAGCAGUGGGGAAUAGUGCACAAUGGGCGCAAGUCUGAUGCAACCAUGCCGCGUGUAUGAAGGAGGCCUUCGGGUUGUAAAGUACUUUCAGCGGUGAGGAAGGGAGUAAGGUUAAUACCAUUACUCAUUGACGUUACCGGGAGAAGAAGCACCGGCUAACUCCGUG
rnacentral:rRNA from 1 species